rnacentral:tRNA from 1 species
GCCGAGGUGGCGAAAUCGGCAGACGCAACAGAUUCAAAACCUGUUGUCCGCAAGGACGUGAGGGUUCGACCCCCUCCCUCGGCA